rnacentral:rRNA from 5 species
UGGCGGCAUUAGCGCGGUGGUCCCACCUGACCCCAUGCCGAACUCAGAAGUGAAACGCCGUAGCGCCGAUGGUAGUGUGGGGUCUCCCCAUGCGAGAGUAGGGAACUGCCAGACA